rnacentral:rRNA from 1 species
UGCUCGAGUGGCGAACGGGUGAGUAACACGUGAGUAACCUGCCCUUGACUUUGGGAUAACUUCAGGAAACUGGGGCUAAUACCGGAUAGGAGCUCUGCUGCAUGGUGGGGGUUGGAAAGUUUCGGCGGUUGGGGAUGGACUCGCGGCUUAUCAGCUUGUUGGUGGGGUAGUGGCUUACCAAGGCUUUGACGGGUAGCCGGCCUGAGAGGGUGACCGGCCACAUUGGGACUGAGAUACGGCCCAGACUCCUACGGGAGGCAGCAGCA